rnacentral:rRNA from 1 species
AACUUUCAACAACGGAUCUCUUGGCUCUCGCAUCGAUGAAGAACGCAGCGAAAUGCGAUACGUAAUGUGAAUUGCAGAAUUCAGUGAAUCAUCGAAUCUUUGAACGCACCUUGCGCCCCNN